GGUUUCCGUAGGUGAACCUGCGGAAGGAUCAUUAACGUAU
rnacentral:rRNA from 1 species